CACCUGUUCCCAUCCCGAACACAGAAGUUAAGCCCUUAUACGUCGAAAGUACUUGGCUGGAAGCGGCCCGGGAGGAUAGAUAGCUGCCGGUUU
rnacentral:rRNA from 1 species